ACACAGCUGGGAUUGAUUUUUUGUAACGUUUUCUAUUACUAGGGGUAAUUUGCAUUAAUGUUACUCAUGUAGUGAAAAUGUAUUUUCGAUUAUAUUGAGUUAAUAAUAUACGAGUCGAAACACUAAGAUGCGUUUGCAUUUUUUCUACCACAUUUUAUUCACUUUUCUUUCAGAAGCCGGUCAUUUUAUUGAAUUGUAAAACUUUAUCCUGUGUAGGUUGAUGUAAUACUUUUAAUAUUAUGUGCAAUUAGCGCUCAAUAACGUUGAGUGAUUUUGUGUCUUGUAUGGCAGAUUUCCAAUGCAAUAACUGUCAACUGUUUGUUAAGAUCUAGCGUAUAUCCAUGUUUCUUAAAACGUAUUUUGUAUAUUAUUCUUUUAAAAGGGUUUCUACGCUAACCAAAUGAAUUACAUACCAUGCAAUGGCUACGGAUAAGUAUCCUCUGGGUUCCAUUUACCAAGAGUCUGAUGUAAAACGAAACAUUCCAACGCAAUGUUUCAUUCACUGAAAAUGUGUUCACUGUGGCAAUGUUGGAUUUUUCUUUAGUUUUGAACAUUUGUAUAUUUUGAUUCGUUUUUGAUAAAAUUGUAAACAAA
rnacentral:sRNA from 1 species